rnacentral:rRNA from 1 species
UGAGGAAUAUUGGUCAAUGGGCGAGAGCCUGAACCAGCCAAGUAGCGUGCAGGAUGACGGCCCUAUGGGUUGUAAACUGCUUUUAUGUGGGGAUAAAGUGCGUGACGUGUCAUGCAUUGCAGGUACCACAUGAAUAAGGACCGGCUAAUUCCGUGCCAGCAGCCGCGGUAAUACGGAAGGUCCGGGCGUUAUCCGGAUUUAUUGGUUUUAAAGGGAGCGUAGGCUGUCUAUUAAGCGUGUUGUGAAAUUUACCGGCUCAACCGGUGGCUUGCAGCGCGAACUGGUCGACUUGAGUAUGCAGGAAGUAGGCGGAAUUCAUGGUGUAGCGGUGAAAUGCUUAGAUAUCAUGACGAACUCCGAUUGCGCAGGCAGCUUACUGUAGCAUAACUGACGCUGAUGCUCGAAAGUGCUCGUAUCAAACAGG